rnacentral:rRNA from 1 species
GACGAACGCUGGCGGCGUGCUUAACACAUGCAAGUCGAACGGAAAGGCCUGCUUUCCCUUGUGGAUUGCGGGUGCUCGAGUGGCGAACGGGUGAGUAACACGUGAGUGAUCUGCCCCCAACUUGGGUAUAAGCCUGGGAAACUGGGUCUAAUUCCCGAUAGGACUGCAGGGUGGUGCCUGUGGUGGAAAACGAUUUUCUAGUGGUUGGGGAUGAGCUCGCGGCCUAUCAGCUUGUUGGUGGGGUAAUGGCCUACCAAGGCGGCGACGGGUAGCCGGCCUGAGAGAGUGGACGGCCACAUUGGGACUGAGAUACGGCCCAGACUCCUACGGGAGGCAGCAGUGGGGAAUAUUGCACAAUGAGCGGAAGCCUGAUGCAGCGACGCCGCGUGGGGGAUGACGGCCUUCGGGUUGUAAACUCCUGUCGAACGAGAGGAAGCCACCUGGUUGGAAGGGUGGUGACGGUAGUGGUAGAAGAAGCACCGGCUAACUACGUG